AUUGAACGCUAGCGGGAUGCUUUACACAUGCAAGUCGAACGAGUGGCGGACGGGUGCGUAAUAUAUCGGAACGUGCCCAGUAGCGGGGGAUAACUACUCGAAAGAGUGGCUACUACCUCAUACUCUUGGUUCGGCCGAUAUCGGAUUAGCUAGUUGGUGGGGUAAAGGCUCACCAAGGCCACGAUCCGUAGCUGGUUUGAGAGGAGGACCAGCAAAACGGGGACGGAGAAAAGGCCCAGAGUCCUACGGGAGGCAGCAGUGGGGAAGUUUGGACAAUGGGGGAAACACUGAUCCAGCCAACCCGCGUGUAUGAGAAGGCCUUCGGGUUGUAAAGUACUUUUGGCAGAGAAGCGGUAUCUGAAGAAUAAGCACCGGCUAACUACGUGCCAGCAGCCGCGGUAAUUC
rnacentral:rRNA from 1 species